UGAUACUGCAGAUACGUGGUGCCAAAAGCUUAUGUAUACUUCAGUAGGCUGGCCCGAGCAGCUCCAUGUCUCCAGGCAGCCAUACAUGUGAAGGCAGAACUCUACCAGGACAGCCCAGCAGCUAGAUGAACAGAGAAACACCAUAAUAAUGGAACUUCCUCAUGGUGACAUGACACUUUCCUUGUGGUGCCAAGCAAUGACCUGGGCAGUAUGAAUGGCAAGACAUACUCUACAAGGUAGAAAUGUAAAUCCAGUUUCAAAGAAAAACCUUCUCAUCAACUCGUCACACUUUGGGCUAGGAUCUUAAUUAACACAAGUCUAACCCAUAGGCUACAUUCUCCAUGACAAAUUCAUAUGACUUACUCCACUUCCUUUACUAGACCCUCUUUAUCAUGAGUUAAAAAGAACACAAAAUUUGCUACUAUAACCUCAAAAUGGAACUGGACCUCUACUUAAUUUGAAAUUUCCAACUGAAAUUUAAACUUUAGAAUUUAAGACAACUCCCAAGAAGAAAGAAAAUGAAGCUAUGACCUUAUUGAUGGCUCAGUGUAAUGGACAGACUGGUGCCCCCACCACAACCA